rnacentral:rRNA from 1 species
AAGAGACAGCAGUAGCCGCGGUAAUACGUAGGGUGCGAGCGUUAAUCGGAAUUACUGGGCGUAAAGCGUGCGCAGGCGGACUGAUAAGUCAGGGGUGAAAUCCCAAGGCUCAACCUUGGAACUGCCUUUGAUACUGUUUGUCUUGAGUUCGAGAGAGGUAAGUGGAACUGCGAGUGUAGAGGUGAAAUUCGUAGAUAUUCGCAAGAACACCAGUGGCGAAGGCGGCUUACUGGCUCGAAACUGACGCUGAGGCGCGAAAGCGUGGGGAGCAAACAGGAUUAGAUACCCCUGUAGUCCCUGUCUCUUAUAC